AUUGAACGCUGGCGGCAGGCCUAACACAUGCAAGUCGAGCGCCACUUCGGACGGGUGAGUACUGCCUAGGACUCUGCCUGGUGUUGGGGUAUCACUUCCGGAAACGGGCGCUAAUACCGCAUACUCUCAGGUGAGCCUAGGUCGGAUUAGCUAGUUGGUGGGGUAAAGGCCUACCAAGGCGACGAUCCGUAACUGGUCUGAGAGGAUGAUCAGUCACCAUGGAACUGAGACACGGUCCAGACUCCUACGGGAGGAAGCAGUGGGGAAUAUGGGACAAUGGGCGAAAGCCUGAUCCAGCCAUGCCGCGUGUGUGAAGAAGGUCUUCGGAUUGUAAAGCACUUUAAGUUGGGAGGCGUUACCAACAGAAUAAGCACCGGCUAACUUCGUGCCAGCAGCCGCGGUAAUUC
rnacentral:rRNA from 1 species